UCGGACGUGGUGCAUUGGUCACGCCCCCGUACAAUGGCGAAACAUUCUUCACUGUUUGUAGCGGGAGUCCUGGGUUCGACUUCCAGCGUCCGGA